AUGACUAGCCUGUCCCUCCUCUGCUCUGCCCAGGAAAAGAGAACCCUUGGGGUGACACCAGGCAGCCCUGCAAAGCAGUGCCCGGCGUCCUCAACCCCCAGCCACGCACCCAGCAGCUUAUCAACGACCUCACGUGAUGUUGUCUCCCGUUCCGCCCUGUCCCUUCCGGGGGGCGGGAAGAGUACCACGGAGCCAGAGGUCGGGGCAGAAAGGGAGAAGCGGAGCGCGGGGCGGGCGGGCGUGGGGGCUCAGGGUGAGCGCGCCAGGCUGGCGGCAGCGCCCAGCGGAGAACAGAGCCAAGGUCACGGGGCCGGAAACAAAAGUUUAAAUCUCACCCCUUCGCAGGCAUGGUGCGCGGCAGUUGCGUGUUGUUCAGAAAGAGUUAGUGCACUGAAAGGCUCCAAAGGAAAAGACUGUGAAAUUCCUGUACCUGUGGGUGUUUCAGUGACUGAUGAAAAUGGUAAAGUUAUAGGAGAACUCAAUAAAGAGAAAGACAGAAUUUUGGUAGCUGAAGGAGGUCUUGGUGGUAAAUUACUUACAAAUUUCUUACCAUUGAAAGGCCAGAAGCGAGUAAUUUACCUUGAUCUAAAACUUAUAGCUGAUAUAGGCCUGGUGGGAUUCCGAAAUGCUGGAAAAUCCUCUUUGCUAAGCAAGAUUUCUCAUGCAAAACCUGCAAUUGCAGAUUAUGCAUUUACAACAAUAAAGCCUGAACUUGGAAAAAUUAUGUAUAGUGAUUUCAAACAGAUAUCUGUAGCUGAGCUUCCUGGUUUAAUAGAAGGAGCACAUAUGAACAAAGGAAUGGGCCACAAAUUCCUCAAGCAUAUAGAAAGAACUAAACAACUGCUUUUUGUUGUUGAUAUUUCUGGAUUUCAGCUUUCUUCCCAAACUCAUUACAGAACUGCUUUUGAAACCAUAAUACUGCUUUCAAAAGAGUUAGAGUUGUACAAAGAGGAACUUCAGACAAAACCUGCACUCCUAGCAGUAAAUAAAAUGGACUUGCCAGAUGCACAGGAUAAAUUCCAUGUACUGAUGAACCAACUCCAGAAUCCUAAAGAAUUUUUGCAUUUAUUUGAAAAAAGCAUGAUUCCAGAGAGGACUGUGGAAUUCCAACAAAUCAUCCCCAUCUCUGCAAUUACUGGAGAAGGAAUUGAUGAACUAAAGAACUGUAUAAGGAAAUCUCUGGAUGAACAUAACAACCAGGAAAAUGAUGCAUAUCAUAAGAAGCAGUUGCUUAAUCUACAUAUUUCCAAUACAAUAUCUUAUAGUGAGCCACCAUCAAAGAAUGCUGUUUCGAGUCCUAGAAUGGAUAUAACUUAAAUGUAUUAAAAGGGAUACUGAAAUUGUGUUCAUUUGAAAGCUCUUUGACAGACAUUUUUUAGAAUGUUGGUUGUUACUAACCUGCUGUAUAUACCAUCAUUCAAGAACCAUAUUUUUAAAGAUGUUUUGUAGUUAAGUUUAUCAACAGAUAAAAAAAUAACUGAGAGUUAAAAAUGACAGUUUAUAAUAUUAUGGUCAUCCACCUGUAAUAACAUCCUAUAGUAUUCUAUAUGUAUGUCUCUAGUGAGGUAAUUUUUAAGGUUAUAAAAAAGGAUUCCUUAUGAGCAACUAGGUUUUAUUUGUUUGCUUUUGAGUUUGUCAUUACCUGGUUCUCCUAAAUUUGUAAUAGUUCUCUUUUUUUUUGAAAAACCUCAAACUCCUGAAUUUGAACAUAUUCACUGAUAAUAAAGAUCACUGAUAAUCAGCA